rnacentral:rRNA from 1 species
GGCGGCACGCCUAACACAUGCAAGUCGAACGAAGUAGCAAUACUUAGUGGCAGACGGGUGAGUAACAUGUAGGUAUCUGCCCUUUGGCCUGGAAUAACACGAGGAAACUUGUGCUAAUACCGGAUAAGUCUUUACGGAGAAAGCUUUAUGCACCAUUGGAUGAGCCUGCACUUGAUUAGUUUGUUGGUGGGGUAAUGGCCUACCAAGACUGUGAUCAAUAGCUGAUUUGAGAGGAUGAUCAGCCACAUUGGGACUGAGACACGGCCCAAACUCCUACGGGAGGCAGCAGUGGGGAAUCUUGCACAAUGGAGGAAACUCUGAUGCAGCGAUGCCGCGUGAGUGAAGAAGGCCCUUGGGUUGUAAAGCUCUUUCGUCGGGGAAGAAAAUGACUGUACCCGAAUAAGAAGGUCCGGCUAACUUCGUGCCAGCAGCCGCGGUAAUACGAAGGGACCUAGCGUAGUUCGGAAUUACUGGGCUUAAAGAGUUCGUAGGUGGUUGAAAAAGUUAGUGGUGAAAUCCCAGAGCUUAACUCUGGAACUGCCAUUAAAACUUUUCAGCUAGAGUAUGAUAGAGGAAAGCAGAAUUUCUAGUGUAGAGGUGAAAUUCGUAGAUAUUAGAAAGAAUACCAAUUGCGAAGGCAGCUUUCUGGAUCAUUACUGACACUGAGGAAACGAAAGCAUGGGUAGCGAAGAGGAUUAGAUACCCUCGUAGUCCAUGCCGUAAACGAUGUGUGUUAGACGUUGGAAAUUUAUUUUCAGUGUCGCAGGGAAACCGAUAAACACACCGCCUGGGGAGUACGACCGCAAGGUUAAAACUCAAAUGAAUUGACGGGGACCCGCACAAGUAGUGGAGCAUGUGGUUUAAUU